rnacentral:rRNA from 1 species
UGGGGAAUUUGGACAAUGGGCGAAAGCCUGAUCCAGCAAUGCCGCGUGUGUGAAGAAGGCCUUCGGGUUGUAAAGCACUUUUGUCCGGAAAGAAAUCCUUGGCUCUAAUACAGUCGGGGGAUGACGGUACCGGAAGAAUAAGCACCGGCUAACUACGUGCCAGCAGCCGCGGUAAUACGUAGGGUGCAAGCGUUAAUCGGAAUUACUGGGCGUAAAGCGUGCGCAGGCGGUUUGCUAAGACCGAUGUGAAAUCCCCGGGCUCAACCUGGGAACUGCAUUGGUGACUGGCAGGCUAGAGUAUGGCAGAGGGGGGUAGAAUUCCACGUNUAGCAGUGAAAUGCGUAGAGAUGUGGAGGAAUACCGAUGGCGAAGGCAGCCCCCUGGGCAAUACUGACGCUCAUGCACGAAAGCGUGGGGAGCAAACAGGAUUAGAUACCCUGGUAGUCCACGCCCU